GCUACAGAUUGUUAAGGCCCUGGAAAUUGACGUUGCGAUGGCAAAGAAAAUGUGGGGUGAUAUGAUAUGCUCCUGUGGAGGAAGGAAUUUGCAAUUGGUGCUGGCACUAGUAUGGGGCACACUAGACUUGAUGUUUUGUUGGUCUGAAGCAGAGCUGAGAAUUUUAUGAAACUUGAUGGUCCCAAUAUAUAUGGCUCAAGACAGGAGGAAUUUAUAUGUCUGAGCAUGAUUGAAAGGUUGGAAAACAUGUGUUUGAACUCGUGAAGCUAAAGUUCACACAGACCGACCAAAUCUCAUUAUCUUGGAAUAUUAAUAGGGGGAAUGAAGACUCCAAUCUUCUAUCUGAACCUCACAGAAUGACUGGUUUCCAGAUGGAUAGUCAUCCUUUAAUUUACGAAAGCAGAAUUUGACUGAGCACCUUAAACGCGCGCUUUGAGAUAAUCCCAUCGCAGUCACUGCUGCAUCUCUGGUUUUCCUGAUACGGAAGUUGUG